rnacentral:rRNA from 1 species
CCUACGGGAGGCAGCAGUGAGGAAUAUUGGUCAAUGGGCGGGAGCCUGAACCAGCCAAGUAGCGUGAGGGAUGACGGCCCUAUGGGUUGUAAACCUCUUUUGUAUGGGGAUAAAACGUUCCACGUGUGGGAUUUUGUAUGUACCAUACGAAUAAGGAUCGGCUAACUCCGUGCCAGCAGCCGCGGUAAUACGGAGGGGCCGAGCGUUAUCCGGAUUUAUUGGGGUUAAAGGGAGCGUAGGUGGAUGGUUAAGUCAGUUGGGAAAUUGUGCGGCUCAACCGUAAAAUGGCAGUUGAAACUGGCAGUCUUGAGUACAGAAGAGGUAGGCGGAAUUCGUGGUGUAGCGGUGAAAUGCAUAGAUAUCACGAAGAACUCCGAUUGCGAAGGCAGCUCACUGGAGUGCAACUGACACUGAGGCUCGAAAGUGUGGGUAUCAAACAGGAUUAGAUACCCCUGUAGUC